CAGGAAGUGUUGUAAAUGAGCACUAGCAUCUUCGUGUGCCUUCCCACAGAACUGGUUGGAUUGCACCAUGUUGAUAAGUCCAGGCUUGAGCUCAAAGUUGCCGUCGAUCUCUGCAGCAGGUCCAGUGCAGAUGUUGUCCGUAGUGGGAGCUGAGAACUCGCAGAUUGAUUUGUUCGCCAUGGCUUCGAACUCUGAAGAAAAGUUCCGGUGAUCUUUUUGAUU
rnacentral:lncRNA from 1 species